GCCCGAUAGAACACUAUACCUGGAAUGGUUUGUGUUCCAAAUGAUUUAUCGCCGUAGGAUGGGACUGCGGCCUAUCAGUUUGUUGGUGAGGUAAUGGCCCACCAAGACUAUUACAGGUACGGGCUCUGAGAGGAGUAGCCCGGAGAUGGGUACUGAGACACGGACCCAGGCCCUAUGGGGCGCAGCAGGCGAGAAAACUUUGCAAUGUGCGAAAGCACGACAAGGUUAAUCCGAGUGGUUUCUGCUAAAGGAACCUUUUGUUAGUCCUAGAAACACUAACGAAUAAGGGGUGGGCAAGUUCUGGUGUCAGCCGCCGCGGUAAAACCAGCACCUCAAGUGGUCAGGAUGAUUAUUGGGCCUAAAGCAUCCGUAGCCGGCUCUGUAAGUUUUCGGUUAAAUCUGUACGCUCAACGUACAGGCUGCCGGGAAUACUGCAGAGCUAGGGAGUGGGAGAGGUAGACGGUACUCGGGAGGAAGUGGUAAAAUGCUUUGAUCUCUCGAUGACCACCUGUGGCGAAGGCGGUCUACCAGAACACGUCCGACGGUGAGGGAUGAAAGCUGGGGGAGCAAACCGGAUUAGAUACCCGGGUAGUCCCAGCUGUAAACUAUGCAAACUCAGUGAUGCAUUGGCUUGUGGCCAAUGCAGUAUUGCAGGGAAGCCGUUAAGUUUGCCGCCUGGGAAGUACGUACGCAAGUAUGAAACUUAAAGGAAUU
rnacentral:rRNA from 1 species